UACGGAGGGUGCGAGCGUUGUCCGGAAUCACUGGGCUUAAAGGGCGCGUAGGCGGGCUGCCAAGUCUGGGGUGAAAUCCCACGGCUCAACCGUGGAACUGCCUCGGAUACUGGCGGUCUCGAGGGAGGUAGGGGCAUGCGGAACUGUGGGUGGAGCGGUGAAAUGCGUUGAUAUCCACAGGAACUCCGGUGGCGAAAGCGGCGUGCUGGACCUCUUCUGACGCUGAGGCGCGAAAGCUAGGGGAGCAAACGGG
rnacentral:rRNA from 1 species